GACGAACGCUGGCGGCGUGCCUAACACAUGCAAGUCGAACGGAGUUGAGUGCUUCGGUAUUCAACUUAGUGGCGAACGGGUGAGUAACGCGUGAGGAACCUGCCUUUCAGUGGGGGACAACAGUUGGAAACGACUGCUAAUACCGCAUGAUACUUUCUGGGGCAUCCCUGGAAAGUCAAAGAUUUAUUGCUGAAAGAUGGCCUCGCGUCUGAUUAGCUAGUUGGCGGGUAACGCCCACCAAGGCGACGAUCAGUAGCCGGUCUGAGAGGAUGAACGGCCACAUUGGGACUGAGAUACGGCCCAGACUCCUACGGGAGGCAGCAGUGGGGAAUAUUGGGCAAUGGGGGAAACCCUGACCCAGCAACGCCGCGUGAAGGAAGAAGGCCUUCGGGUUGUAAACUUCUUUUACCAGGGACGAAGGGACGUGACGGGUACCUGGGAGAAAAAGCAACGGGCUAACUACGUGCCAGCAGCCGCCGUAAG
rnacentral:rRNA from 1 species